AGCAGCCGCGGUAAUUCCAGCUCCAAUAGCGUAUAUUAAAGUUGUUGCAGUUAAAAGCUCGUAGUUGAAUUUCGGGAUCAAUUAAUCGGUCGUGCCUCUGGUACGCACUGGUUUUAUUGGUUUCUCCCUUCUGACGAACCAGGAUGUCAUUAAUUUGGUGUCUUGGAGAAUCAGGACUGUUACUUUGAAAAAUUAGAGUGUUUAUAGCAGGCUAACGCUUGAAUACAUUAGCAUGGAAUAAUGAAAUAGGACGUUUGAUCCUAUUUUGUUGGUUUCUAGGAUCGACGUAAUGAUUAAUAGGGAUAGUUGGGGGCAUUAGUAUUCAAUUGUCAGAGGUGAAAUUCUUGGAUUUAUUGAAGACUAACUACUGCGAAAGCAUUUGCCAAGGAUGUUUUCAUUAAUCAAGAACGAAAGUUAGGGAUCGAAGACGAUCAGAUACCGUCGUAGUCUUAACCAUAAACUAUGCCGACUAGGGAUCGGAUGAUGUUAAUUUUUAAUGACUCAUUCGGCGCCUUAAC
rnacentral:misc_RNA from 1 species